rnacentral:misc_RNA from 1 species
AAGCGGCUCAAUCAGCACUGAGAGUGACUGCUGUACAUUGCAUCAGUUGAGCUUCACCCCCCCCACACACACACACACCUCUCCCCAUCAUCAGCACUAUAAUUUGCUCCUCCCUCAUCCUCCGGGCUCGACUCGCCUCAGCGCUUGUCUCCGUCUUGUUUUCCCGAUCUGUUUUUGCACACAGGCACCCCGCACACACUCCUGCAAGAGCGUGCGCGCACACGGGGUGUGCACCUCUACACACAUACGCGUACACUAGAUAUAUAUAUAUAUAUAUAUGUAGUCAUCCUUCCCUCUGUCCUCCCCCCUCUCCUCUCUCAUCGCUGCUUCUUUUUCGCCCCUUUCUGUUCUUCAUCGGCUGGGGCGUCUCGCACACGCUCGCUCCCGCUUCCCGGCCCCUGUGCCGAGUGGCUCACCCCGACUCGAUUUGCUCUCUUUGUGUCAUUUAGUGUCUGUGUCUGUGGCCGCUUUUGAGCCCUGCUGCUGCUGCUGCGCUUCUCUGUGCGCUUUUUCUGUCUUGCUCUAUUUUUUUUUAUCAUUGUCGGUAUUUCCUCCGCCGCUUUAUCAAAAUAAAGCAAUCUUUUUCGAUUGUGUGCCCCGCCCACCCUGCCACUACCUCCUCCGAUCGCCAUCUUCUUCUUGCGUUUGAGUGUGAUGGCGCAUGCGGCAGGCGGGAAUAAUACCGCGGAUGCAGCACCGCAGUACUACGACCCCAACGCCCCGCUCACCCGCCCUGUCACGACCUUUCAGGUUGAAACUUUUGUUCCACGUGAAGGGAUGACGCCGUCGCUCGUGCUCGCGGAUGGCAGUCACUACUUUGGUCCCGUCGUUGAGGACAGCAGGUGUCGCAUCCCGUGCGGCUGUGGCAUCAUACUAUUCCAGUAUGAUGGAGCGGUGAAACCCAACUUGACCGUUGCCGAAGCGGCAGCCGCUGCUAGUGACAGCGGCGGGGGUGGCGGACUCGCUUCCUUCUUCUUUGGCCGAGGUAUGCCGCAAGGCGGCGGCGCGAGUCAGGCGGCGGCAACCCUCACGGCUCUGUGCAAGCGCUAUCGGCAAGGAGACCGGUACGGCGGUGACUGGGUCAACGGCACGUUCCACGGUAACGGUGUGCUGGUAACGAGCAGCUUCACCUACCACGGCACCUGGAUAGAGGGUGAGAUGCAGGGAAAGGGCACCAUCUCUUACACGCGCAAAUACGUCGACUACCGGCCCCGCAACACAAACGGCAGCGACAGCGGGGUUGGGGAAGGGGUGAGCAACCUGCUGCUGAAGGGGCUCUCGUACGUUUCACCCUUCGAGCUCGUCGGGACCGCUGCGGCGCCGAAGGAAUACAUUGGUGACUUCGACGCCAAGCACUACCGCCACGGCAUGGGGCUGAUGCGGUACUACAACGGCGACGUCUACGAGGGGGAGUGGCGCGACAACUGCCGUCAUGGCCGUGGAAAACUACGCAAGAUAGACGGUGAGGUGUACGACGGUGACUGGGCCUUUGACCAGCGCCACGGCAACGGCAAGAUCAUGUACCCGAACGGGUCUCUCUUCAAGGGCUCCAUGGAGUACGAUCAGCGCAACGGCGAGGGCAUCAUGCGCUUCGCCAACGGUGACGAGUUCUUUGGCACCUUCAAGAAGGAUCGCAUCGACGGGCACGGCACGAUGCGCUACCGCAAUGGAGACGUCUACGAAGGCUCCUGGCGCGACCAGCUGCGCCACGGACAAGGCAAGUAUACCUUGAAGCGCACAGGGGCGACGAUGCACGGCGAGUUCCAGAGCGGGCUCAUCCACGGAGAAGGUACCGUGAUCGUGCCGGGUGUAUCGACCUUUGUUGGCAUGUUUGUGCGCGGCGAGCGCACUAUCGGCACCAUGCACUGGCAUCAGCAGUCGUCACAGCAGCUGCAAGCAGAGCUCGUCAACGAUGAUGCCACCACAGCCGCGGCAGCAACUGCUGCGGCGACAUUGGAGAGCCCGGAGUCGUCCCUUCUGGACACAACGCUGCUCCCAGGUCCCGCCACGCCUCCUCCUCCUGGCACCGGCAGCGCCAGCGUCACCGCAACGAUCGGUACCGCCAUCGUGGCCGGCAAAGCAAGCACCACGAACUACCUCUGCUACCAGGGGCAGUGGCACGGCGAGCACAUGCACGGCAGAGGACUCCUCUGGUACACGAACGGCGACUUUUACGCUGGUGACUUUCACAAGAGCCGCCGUCACGGCGCCGGCAACAUGCGCUACGCCGCGGAGCAGGCUGAGUUCAGCGGGCAGUACGUCCACGGUAUACGGCAUGGGCUGGGGCUGCUGCAGCGCGCCAACAAAACCAUCCAGGCUGGGCGGUGGCAGCAAAACAUCUUCGUGGAGGGGUACGAGGGGGAGUGGGACGGGUCUGUCUUUCACGGUAUUGGACGGCUAACGAUGCCGGUGGACAUCUUCCUCGCCAUGCGCUCAAGCAGCUCCACCCUGAAACCGUCGGAGCUGAGCGCGAUGUGGAAUGGCAGGUCUAGCACCCUCUCGACGAACGCGUCGUUCAUCGCUGGACAUGAAGAAGGCCGCCGUGCAGCCGGCGACGGGGCGCCACAGGGGGCAGCAACCGACACAUCCGUGAGCGGUGCCACGGCGAAUCGCGCUGACUUGUCCCCUCUCUUCAUCGAUUUCUUUGGCCUAUUCCGUAACGGUCUACGGGAUGGGCUGGGCGUGCUCAAGCUGCCUGCCCUGAACGGCCUCGUCGGUGGCUCCCUGAACCUUGCAGAAGAGCGGAAGUCAGGCGGCGGUGGCGGCCAAUGCGAUAGCGGCGGCGGUGGUACUACCACCCACGGCGCUGGAGGGGUGAAGGCGGAGAGAGGUCGGAGGGGCAGCGGUGGUGUUGGCGACGGCAAUGCCGCCGCCGGUGCGCCCCGCAGUCGAUACAACACCGUCAGCCUUGCCUCGAUGCCGUCCAUGCUCAUCAAGGGGCGCUGGGUCCGUGAUGUGCUGCACUGCGACAAAGGUGUAUGGGCCUUCCCAAAUGGCGUCGUCUAUAUUGGGCGCUUUCGCAACGGCGCCCGCGACGCUACGCGCGCGUGCGUGUGGUGGCCGGAUGGGUCGGUGCUGGAGAGCGGGUGGUGUGGCGAUGCGCCGAGCGGGGCAGGCAUCUGGUAUCAGCGUAACCGCAUCACCCCGGUGUAUCAAACGAUUUCGCCGAGCGUGCUGCGUCGCUCGCAGUCGCUGAGGUUGCCAGAGAAGGGCUCACCGUCGAGGAGCAUCGGUCAUGCCACCGAUGGCGGUCAGGGCACCAGUGACGCGGCUGAUGCGGACGGCAACAGCACGAGCGUCGCUCUGGCGCGUGAUCCUUUUGGCAUGUCGUACCUCCUAAGGCUCAUCGGGUCUGGUCUUAUCGGCCACGGCACCAGCAGCGUUGGUGACGGCGGCGGCGGCGACACGCACGAUGAAAGCGACAACGACCAGCCGCGACGGGUGCUCGUUGACUUUGGCAAUCACUUCACGUUCUCCUGCUCCUGGUGCCCAUACACGAUGGAUUUGAGUACUUACGCGGCAGUGGUGCUGCCCCAGAUUGGGAGUCAGACGUCCCCGCUGCCAGGUGGCACGCCGUGGCCGCAGCUGUACCACUCCCCAAGCAUGUCGGCUGCCGUGGGCGCGCCGCGACCGUGGGCGGCAGAGACUGCGAAAGGCGGGAGAGGCGCGCCACAAAGCACAGCAGCCGCAUCGCCCACCACUGCCGUUGGCAGUAGCGGCGCUGGGCUGCAAGCCUCCGUACCGUGGCCCGUCCCUACGGCAAAAAAGAUGUCCAGCUGCGCCAACUCGCUUCAUCUAUCGGAAGCACCGUCCAGCGUGGUGAUAGGCCGCGCCAGCGGCGCCGGGGUUGUUUACUUCGACUCCGGUGUCGUGCUUGCCGGGGAGUGGCUCGGCAACGUCCCUCGGCUGGCCACACCGUACCGCCCGUGGUCCGCCUUCGAUCACUUCAUCACGUGGCAGACGGCUCGGGCAGCAUCGCGCAACUGUGUCAGCACGGUGCCGCGCCCCAUUGCUCCGCGGCUGCAAUCGUGCUACACCUCUGUCUUGGUGGCUGCCCCGGAGGACGUGAGUGGUGAACCGCGGCGCGUUGCUGGUGGGCGGCUGACUGUGGCGUCGUCGCCGCUAGCGGUUAGCCGCAUGGGCGACGCUGCAGAGCAUGCGCCGGCAUCCUUUACCCCACCGUCGCCGCCGCCCUCCCCCGAUGCGCGCUGCAUGUUGUGUGGGAAAGACUACAGCUUCUUCCGCAAGCGCGCGCACUGCACCCUGUGCCUGCGCUCGGCAUGCUCUUCCUGCCUGGGGCACAUGGACACAGAGGGGCCGGCGCAGCAGGAGGACGUGAAAGCACUACUACGUCACGCCUACCUGACGGCGGAGCAGACGGUGCAGCUCUCGACCGCUGCAGCUGCGAAGACUACCCUCACAAGCGCCAGCGGUAGCGCUGCCCGGCCUAUCACCUUCCCAAGCUUCUCUGCAGAGCAGGUCGAUCACGCGUUCGACAAGAAGAGCAUCUCGACGGUUCCCGUCUGUGCAGACUGCGUGCGCGCGGUUCUGUGGAAGCUGCGGUACACACAGCUAUGGAUACCGAUGUCGAUGUUCGCCUCCGUCGUCGAGGGUGACAAGCACCACCGUGAGGCGCGGCGCAACAGCGGCGUCGAGGCUGCCCAUCACGAUGCUCGCGAUGGCGCGAACAAAAACGCCGUCGCCGGUGGUGACGUCGACGACGGGGCCGGGGAACCGGCCAACCCGCUGUCCACGGUCGCGCACAGUCAGGAGUCCUCUCGGCAGAUCUCGGCCGUUGGGCAGUCUCUGCCCCUCUCUCCCGAGCGUUCCGCUGUUCCAGCCACAGCCUUCGAUGAGGUGGAGCAUCGCCAACACGAUGGAAGGUUGCCGACUGGCAACAGCGCACUGUGCAGCGCGGCCACCGCAGACUCCUCCGAAGCCUCAGCUGUCGAUGAAGCAUCGCACGACCUGCUGGCCCCCACCCAAGCAUGUGCGGCAGCUACUGAAGACAAGCCAUCUACUCCCCCUGCCGCGUCACCCUCAAGCGCCAACGACAGUGCGGUGGCUGGUACAUCACCUGCGUCGGCUCUCCCGCCCGCGUCGGCCUCCAGCCAGACGCCAAACCUCUCCGGCCACCCAGAGACGGUGCGGCACAGCUGCAGCAAGAUCUUGCCGCCGACGCAGUACAUUAUCUACAGUGGCUACACAUCACACACCAUUCCACACGUCUACGGCGAGCUCUGGUGGGGGCGUCAGUACUACUACCGCGGCGGCUUCUGCGCCGGGGAGCGGCACGGGUUCGGUACGCAGUACAUGCCCAACGGCGAGUGGUACGAGGGCGGCUUUGAGCGAGACGCAUGGCAUGGCGAGGGCGUCUACUACCUGGAAGACGGUUCCGUGCUGCUCGGUGAGUUCCGAAAGGGCAAGCUGCACGCGGUGCACUACCGCGGUGAGGUGGAGGAGAGUGACACAUGUGGCGUCCGGCCGCACGGCCGCGGUAUCGGCUACAGCCCAGACGGCUCCGUCUAUAAUGGCGAGUGGGUGCAUGGCCAGCGUCACGGCACUGGAAUGCUGCACCUGGCCGAUGGCAGCUCCGUGUACAGCGGCACAUUUGUGUCGGAUGCGAUGGAAGGGAUGGGCAAGCUCGUGACGACCAGUGGGGCCUACUACGGCGACUUUAGUCAGAACAAGCAGAAUGGCAAAGGGCUGCUCUUCACUGCCGACUGCGUGGUGGAAGGGUCAUGGGUGCAGGGCACCUCAUCCGGAUUCACGCGCAUCUACGAGCGUGUCACCGGGGAGGUGUACGAGACGACCUACAGCGACGGCAACGAGCGGGACGACUGCUUCACUGCUCCAGUGAUGAUAGACGACGACGCCGCUGCCGAGUGCGGGCAGUGCGGCACGGCCUUCUCCUUUUUCCUUCGCCGGCAUCACUGCCGCCUUUGCGGGGAUGUCUUCUGCGAUGCCUGCACGCAGCACCGCGCGUCGCUGCCGUCGACUGUCACAGGAGACGGUGUCCCAAGUGCGAAGAGCGACCCCGCCAGCUCCAGCGCGUCCGGGGUGAAUGGGCAGCAGCUGCGGGUAUGCGAUGCGUGUUUCUUCCGUCUCUCCCAGCGCCGCAUGAUCGCUCUGCGCCGCUACGCCGACGGCAGUGUGUACGCCGGCUGCUGGAGCCAGGGGCGCUGGGUAUCGCGUGGGCUCUACUGCCGGCCAGACGGCGUGUUCGUGGUGAUGGACACCUACGGGCACGCCCUCCUGCCACUGGCAGCCAUUGCGAAAGAGCCGCUCAAGGGUGGCGCAAGCGCAGACAUGAAAGAGCCGGAGAAGCCAAGCGCGGCGCAGCCUGCUUGCGGCCUCGGCGUUGUUCGCCGCCCGUCGCGCGCCACCGGUCUGCCUGUCUCGUCAUCCGUCCUUCAGGAUGCUGCGCCGGCGAAGGAGCUUCUCGACGGUGUCUCGGAGAGCUCGUCGCGUAAGGACCUCGACGCGUUCCUGCUCUGGUGGGCGACGACGCGCAGCCGCUGUGGCCUGCACGUUCCGCUGGACGUCCCGCUCGUGAUCCAAUAUCAGCGCAUGCCGGCGCAGAUGCUGCGCAGCAAGGAGGCCACGGUGAAGGCUGGCUCGGAUGCAGCGGCGUAUUUGGCGGCGCCGGCACGCUGCACCCUUGAGACACCCCACACUCCCUCUCUCAGGCCUAUCCGGCUGUUCAUCACACUGGCCGACUCGCGGCGUGAGAUGCGGGCCAUGGUGGAGGGAGAGAUGGUGCGGACCUCUGCCAGCGCAACGCCGGCAGAAACAGCCGCUGCACCUGCGCCAGAGUCGCGCCUGUCGAUCGAAGAGAAGCGCACCAUGGACAGCGACGUAGAGGCGGCAGCGUUGCGAGCGUCGAGGUUCAUGCCAGUUGCGAUACCUCGCGCUCCAGUGGUACCCAUCACCGCCGCUACGAUACCCGUCACGAGCGCGGCGGAGCUGCCAGAGGCGACUACAACGGCUCACCCCGGCAGCCUCCACCCUGCACACCAGGCGACGGGAGCAGAUCCUCCGCAUGCGUUCGGUUUCUCCGCCUGGGCGACGCGCCCGCCACCGUCGAUCGACCCCGAGGACAUCAGCGAUGAGUCGCUCGUAGAGAUGAUGCAGGCGGAGCGGCUUUCCUGGUCAGCGGCUGCGCCAGCGGCCAAGGCCUCCGCUGCGUCAACCAUUCCACCUCUCAUGCCACCUACACCGGCCCCUCCCACACCCGGAUUGAACACCACGGUGCCCUGGGAUCUGUGGACGACGCGCGACGUGCCCCGUUACGCCCCGCCGCCGCCGGCGACGGAAGCAGCAGAGGCCACACCAGCUGCCCAAACGCUGAAGGAGAAAGCCUCAGGUGGUGGCGAGGCCGACGCGGCGCCUCUGCCUGCCCUGCGCAGUGAAGCGGACAUGUACUUUGCGUGUCCGUUCUGGGGCCCGACCGUUCCAGACGCGCAGGUGCUGCUAGAGCAGGGCAAGAUGACGCAGGCCACGAGACUGAUGUGCCGUCUGCAGCAACAGCACGGCCAAGCCGUGAAUCCGCAGCAGCAGGAGAAGCAAAGGAGCGAUAGCGGCAGCAGUGACGGCGACGGCAACGGCAGCGGCGAGGGGAUCGGGGGCAGAGGCGCUACUGCAAGUGGUGGAGGAAAGACUCGACGAGGCAGUGCAGCAGACGACCCGCUGAGUAUGCUGCAGAGCAUGCAGGGUGGUGUCCCCAAUGCCAGCGUCUCCUCCUGGGAGCCGGGUCACCUAUUCUCCUCAGAGCAGCGAGCGCAGUGCGGCGACGGGUGGGCACCAACGCCGUUGCGUGGCCCAUAUGUCUUCGACAUCUCUGCCCACGAAAAGCACAGAAGCGCGGAUGGGCAGCGUUGGUACGCAAAGGUAACGCAGCGAGAGGUGCUGAAGUUUUAGUCGCGCGCCGCUGCUUCGCUUGAUGUUUUGCUUCGUUUUUUUGUAUCAGGUGUGUGUGUGUGUGUGUGUGUGCGUGUGUAUGUGUGUGUCUGCAUCUGCGCGGUUGGUCGUGCAUUACUGUAUUGGUUGGGCUUUUGACGUUU